rnacentral:lncRNA from 1 species
UUCGAUUUUAGAAGAAGAUAACUAGGGACUAUAGAGGGGGCCAGAAAAAAGACAAUGAAUUCUAGAAUAUAAUCUGGAACCAGAGAAGGAUGGAGAGCCAAAGAAAGUGAAGCCAGAUGCAGAAGUGGACGUCUUCAUCUUCAAUAACACUGAAAAGAAUGUGAAACUUUCCCUAAGAUGAAGAAGUGAAGCAAAAUGGGAGGCAACAGGAAGUGGUCUGAGACACUGGGCAUGGCUUGACCACAUAUGAUACCUCAUAGCCCAUCUCCAGAGUGAUAAAGUCCUCCAACAAGGCAAAUCUACUCCAACAAAGCCACACUUCCUAAGAGUACUACUCCCUUUGAGGACCAUUUUCUUUCAAACCAACACAGGUCACUGAAAACAGGACAGAGGCUGUGAGCUAGGUCCUCUGCUAACUGCUAACCAGACUAUGUUAUUUACAGGCACCAAUUCCCCAUUAACAAGACCUAUAACCCAAUCAGAGCAAGAUACACAAAGGACAGACAGUCCUUCACAGACACUGGUCUUCCUGAAGGAGCAGCUGAGAGCAGAUGUAAUGUGAACCCUCGGCUCCACUUUGGGCUGGCUGAGCUAAGAGCAGAAGCAGGGAUGUUGGCAGAGAUUCAGUGAGCACAAGGGAUUCAUGAGAACCAAGUGGGCAGCAAAGACCAGACCAGAUGUGGAGACUGAUUCUUAUUUUAAUGUGCAUACCAACAAGCUGAUCAGAGCCUAAGCAAAGAAGAAACACACUAGUGGCCUGUAAACACCAGAAGACCCCAUGGAGACUUGGUGUCCUCCUGCAGCAUGGACAGUUGCGGCACCAUGAUCCUCAUGAGUGGAAGGGGCAGAAUAUGGAAAGUGAAAGAAAGAGAAAUGAUGUGAACAAAAUAAAGCUUGUAAACAGAAUUGAAUCACAAGGUUUUUUAUUUCGUUUCCUUUCUCGCCAGACCAUUUAUGGAAAAAACAGUUUUCAUAAUUCUGCAAUGCUGUUCUCUGCCAACAUAUGUGCAGAAUGCUUCUAGAGUCAUUCACUCAGACUAUCCAUCCACACUGCUUAACAAAUGAAAACAGUUGCUGCUUUAGUUCAUAUCUUGUGUUCCAUCCAGAAAAUAUUCGAAAGGACAGUUUUUCUAGGACAAA